UGUGCGAAUAAUGAACGAUCAGAAUAAAAGUGAAUAUUAUCCCUUGUUAUUCUGAAUCCGCUCCCUAUAAUGCGCCUCCAUCGACACGGAGCCUGCGAAUACCAUCACAGAGUCUCUGAAGGUCACAGAGAAAAAACCUGCAAAUUAAGGUUGACUCUGAAAGAGGAAAGCGUAAUAUACGCCACCUCGAGUUAGCAAGCGAAAGCGCGUAACUCACUGCUCUUUAACAAUUUAUCAGAC
rnacentral:ncRNA from 1 species